GGUCCGGCCGGGCGGUCCGCCGUUUCGGCGAGUACUGCUCUCUGGCGGGACCUUUCCUCCUGGGGAGCCGGCGUCGCCCUUUGCGGGGCGCGGCGGGGAGCCAGGACGUUUACCUUGAAAAAAUUAGAGUGUUUAAAACAGGCAUUUUGCUUGAAUACAUUAGCAUGGAAUAACGGAAUA
rnacentral:rRNA from 1 species